GGCCGGUUAGCUCGGUCGGUUAGAGCGUGGUGCUGAUAACACCAAGGUUGUGGGUUUGAUUUCCCAUUUGGUCCC
rnacentral:tRNA from 1 species